UACGGAGGGGGCUAGCGUUAUUCGGAAUUACUGGGCGUAAAGGGCUCGUAGGUGGCCAACUAAGUCAGACGUGAAAUCCCUCGGCUUAACCGGGGAACUGCGUCUGAUACUGGAUGGCUUGAGUUCGGGAGAGGGAUGCGGAAUUCCAGGUGUAGCGGUGAAAUGCGUAGAUAUCUGGAGGAACACCGGUGGCGAAGGCGGCAUCCUGGACCGACACUGACACUGAGGAGCGAAAGCCAGGGGAGCAAACGGGAUUAGAAAACCCUGG
rnacentral:rRNA from 1 species